UCCUCUCCUCAGACUUCCUAAUUCCAAAAGACACAAUAAUAUUAAAACCAGGCCAAUUAAGAACCCUACAUCCAUCUACAAGUGUUCAAGUGUAAGAAAGAGUCAUACAUCUCUCACUCUAAAUCAUAAACUAGAAAUGACUAAAGCUUAGUGAGGAAGUCAUGCCAAAACUAAGACAGGUCGAAAGCUAUGCCUUUUGUGCCAAAGAACCAAGUUGUAAAUGCAAAAAAAAAAAAAAAAAAAAAAAAAAAAAAAAAAAAAAAAAAAAAAAAAAAAAAAAAAAAAAAAAAAAAAAAAAAAAAAAAAAAAAAAAAAAAAAAAAAAAAAAAAAAAAAAAAAAACAAAUGUGCUACUCUAGUGAACACAGAAAUAAUAAAAUAAAAAUAAGCAGCCUUAUGUUGGUAUGGAGAAACAUUUUAGGUGUCUGGAUAGGAGAUAAAACCAGCCACAGGCCGCGCACGGUGGCUCACGCCUGUAAUCCUAGCACUCUGGGAGGCCGAGGCAGGCGGAUCACGAAGUCAAGAGAUCAAGACCAUCCUGGCCAACAUAGUGAAACCUCGUCUCUACUAAAAUAUAAAAAACUAGCUGGGCGUGGUGGCGUGCGUCUGUAGUCCCAGCUACUCGGGAGGCUGAGGCAGGAGAAUUGCUUGAACCCAGGAGGCGGAGGUUGCAGUGAGCGGAGAUGGCGUCACUGCACUCCAGCCUGGUGCCUGGCGACCGAGCAAGACUCUUUCUCAAAAAAAAGAAAAAAACAAAACAACAACAACAAAAAAACCUGCCACAGCAUUCCCACAAACUGAAGGCUAAUCUGGAGCAAGACCCUAACUCUCUUCAAUUCCGUGAAGUUCCAAAGAGAAAUAUCUGGUCGGGUGCGAUGGCUCAAGCCUGUAAUCCCAGCACUUUGGGAGGCCGAGGUGGGUGGAUCAUGAGGUCAAGAGCUCGAGACCAUCUUGGUCAACAAGGAAUUGGCCUACAUGUUUAUGGAAGUUUGCAGGAAAGUGCUAGCAAAGAGAAAGAAGCAAAGUCUCACUCCAAGGAGAUGCCUUCGAAGUCCACUUUGUUCCCUGGGUUCACCUGUAUUCUCAGGCAAACUGCUACCAUGAAACUCCCCACACAAGAUGUGAAAGCCAAGAGGAAAGAGUUGAAGGGCUAGCAUUCUCCCUUGCUCCAUGAAAAUGUUCAUGAUGAGAUAGUGCAUGCAUCGCUUCAAGGAACUGCCACUACAUAGUUUCCUGUACACCAGACUGUAAAGUAGGCUUAAUUGACAGCAUAUAUUUUCAAGGUAAAUUUCACCCAUUAAGAAAGGCAAAGUAUCAUGAAGAAGCUGCAGAACCUAAACAACCUACAUUAGUAGGAAAUGAAAGAGUA
rnacentral:lncRNA from 13 species